UCUUCAUUAUGUCGUCAUACAGAACCGAUAGUGUAGCGAAUUCAGGUGAUUGAAAACGAUAAUAAAUGAGAGGGAAGUUAGUCGAUUUUACUAACCAUUCAAAUAUAUUUUUUCAAAGUCUAAUAUUCACAGCUUACUACCCUACAUUGGGGCUGUCGCUGGAGGUGUAUUGUAGCUAGAUCUAGAUAUUUUGUUCACAAUCUAGUAAAAUUUGGAAUCUAAAAUCUAGAUCUCACAUGGCAAAUUACGGCCCGCGCGCCAUAGCAACAUACGACAUACAUUCUGUCAGCUGUCAUACAACACCACUAACCAAAGAAGCGUUAUUGGCAGGACAAAAAGUGAGUUACGAAGCAUUCAUCUUGUAAAGUCAAAAAUUGGGAAAAUACGUGAAUAGAUUAUAUAGUCAGGCUAAAACGGAGCCAAGCCUCAUACUUAAAAAAUGGUACAGCUUUCUUCGACUUCAUAUACGUAUCCGAGAAUCUAGCUAAACGGUGGCUCUUUCGUGUGUAUCGCUAGGUAUUUGGAAUGGAAUAAAACACAGAUUAUAUGUUUUAUUUCACUCCAAUGCCAAUAUAUUAGCAGUUGCAUAUAUAAAAUUUAAAAAAACUAAACAGAGAGAAAGGGAAUAUAAUUGUACUCGCAGAUAGUAUAUUCUACCCUUACCAAAAUGUCAGUACUUCUACGGAAAAGUCGGAGUCUGCAUUUGCAUUUGGCGGAUUGUCUUCGUGAUCGAAGCCUGUGGAAACUAACCGUGGACUGGAGAAGCACGAUAGCAGUGCAGAACAUAUGCUUGCUGUUGGCUACCUCUAGAUAAAACUAUGGAGACUAUAGGAAGUGGAAGUUAAAGGCGUAUAAAAGAUGCUGAACAAUUUUCCGUUGUCUCCCUAAACAGAGAAUAUUCAAAAAUGCUUCUAAAAUUUCACCGAUUAUUUUGUACGCAUACAAUGGCGUAUAGGUCAGGGGCCAUGAUGAGAUCGAAGAGUCCGAUAAUGCUGAAAAAUCGCGCAAGGCUGAAGAAGUUCAGGAACAGAUUGGAAUUUGCGUCCAGUGUCAGGUUGCAAUUGAUCACGAUCGACAAAUCCUAGUCAAUGCUGGGCGAUUUGUCUUCGGACGGUGGAUCAUGAUGGGAAGUCGCUGGAACAUUUCAACGAGCUCGUGCGCCUCAAGGAGGGUGGGGAUGCAUCUACAAUUGCAGCUAUUGCAUCCAUCGUCGAAACCACGGCGAUUGCCAUAGGCGCUGACUGAGCAUCCGUGAUGAGCGGAAAUUAUCGCGCACCUGCGGUGCAAAUACAGCAGCGUUUCUCAAACUGUAUGCCGGGGCACACUAGUGUGGCGCAAGAUAUUAACAGUUCUGCCGCGGAUCUUUUUCAAAUUUUAGAAAAAGAGCUAUUGGUUAUACACCAAGGCAUGCAUACAACGGGCAAUCCUGUAAAACUUGAGUAUUAGACUGGUAAUAUUACUGCAUUUGCAUACGAUUGAAUAAGGGCGAUUGUCACGUCGUAAUUGCACUGUUUUGUCAUAAUGUAUUUGUAAACAAGCUGUCCAACUUCCACCAUGUUGACGUGCGCAAUAAGUUAGGCUAACAGAAAAUCAAGUUUGGACGAGUUUUGGCUAUCUGCUUAUAACUCAAUCAUAACUACAUACAAUCAUAUAUCUCUAUUCUCUAUAACUCAAUUCCAUCAUCGGUGCAAAAUCCAUCAAAAAUUAUCUUGUCAUUUGCAUCUCCAUGGCUCUGUGCACAGUGACAUGGGCACUCUGCUGUGACUUUAAUUAAAAGCAAAAAUAGACAGCGGCAGAACCUCGUUUCAAUUGUUUCUCAAAACAGGCAGGAAUUAACGGUCUUGCAAAUAGAAAAAGUGCCAGGACCAAGAAACACCUGAAUGCCCCUUACGAAACACCAGUGUUCCGCGGAACAUCGCUUGACAAUGGCUGAGGUAUGUUAUCGAUGAAGACGUUUGACGUAUUACGCAGCCAAUGUGGGCGUAUCUGACGGAACAAAGUGGUAUUUUGAUAGUUUAGCAAUCAAUCUCGAUAAUUGCAAAAUUGAAAGCGCGCGGAUCAGACUAUUUGGUUCAGUCUGGCUUAGUAUUUGGUGGAAGUCGGUGUUUUGGUGUUCAUUAUUGGUUGUAGUAUUCUUGAGUGAGAGUAAAGUAUACAAUAUGUAUGUAUAAAAAGUUAUAACUUAUUCUCAAUUGCGAAUAAAACACAAUUCUCGACUGCAGGUUGGGACUGUAUAAUAAGCAAAUUAGCAUAGUGGGCUAACACUGCAGAUUUGCUACUUUAGUCAUACAAGCUGAAUUAAAGUUACUUUGGAGUAUACUUCGCAUGGCUGUAUUGCGUGAAGAAUCAGAACAUACGAUAACCUUCCCAAUGAACCAGUUCUAAGGCGAAUUCUAUGUCACAUCAAGCUGAGGCACAGACAAGAAGCCGGGUCUUUUUGUUUGUGAUUAACAAUAAUAAAUCGUUUAGUUUAUUAUUCCUUGCAUAUUAGGCGGGUUGUCAAAAGUCUCCGAUAAACCGAUGAAACGGAUGAAAAGCUUUCUUUAUCAGCUUCCCGAAAGGUUCAAAGAAGACUAAUUAGAAAGCUGAACUCAGAUAUUUUAUUAUCCUUUUCCUCUCUGUUUAUCUUGUUGAUCUUCUCCAUCAUAAGAGUUUUAUAUCUUGUUCAGACUCCACAUUCGUCGAAAUAGGGUAGAUGGAGCUGUCCUUUCAGUGUAUCGCUUGUUUUCUAGAUUCUGGAAUAAAAAGAACACAUGUUA